AGCUUUGCGCAGUGGCAGUAUCGUAGCCAAUGAGGUUUAUCCGAGGCGCGAUUAUUGCUAAUUGAUUCUUUCUAUAAAUGAUCAAGUAAUAAGUGACCUAACAAGGGAUAUAUACUUCCUUUUACUGUGAAUAUGGCCUGUAGACC